rnacentral:snRNA from 1 species
CGAGAGCUCCAAGUGGGCCAU